rnacentral:rRNA from 1 species
AAUUUUGGACAAUGGGCGAAAGCCUGAUCCAGCAAUGCCGCGUGCAGGAUGAAGGCCUUCGGGUUGUAAACUGCUUUUGUACGGAACGAAAAGCUUUGGGUUAAUACCUGGGAGUCAUGACGGUACCGUAAGAAUAAGCACCUGCUGACUCCGUGGCAGCAGCCGAGGUAAUACGGAGGGUUCUAGCGUUAAUCGGUAUUACUGGGCGUAAAGGGGGCGCAGGCGGUUUUGUAAAAUAGAGGUGAAAUCCCCGGGCUCAACCUGGGAACUGCCUUUGUGACUGCAAGGCUAGAGUACGGCAGGGGGGGGUGGAAUUCCGCGUGUAGCAGUGAAAUGCGUAGAUAUGCGGAGGAACACCGAUGGCGAAGGCAACCCCCUGGGCCUGUACUGACGCUCAUGCACGAAAGCGUGGGGAGCAAACAG